CCUACGGGAGGCUGCAGUGGGGGAUAUUGCACAAUGGGGGAAACUCUGAUGCAGCGACGCCGCGUGUGGGAAGACGGUCCUCUGGAUUGUAAACCACUGUUCCCAGGGACGAAGAUGACGGUACCUGGGGAGGAAGCUCCGGCCAACUACGUGCCAGCAGCCUCGGUAAUACGUAGGGAGCAAGGUUUGUCCGGAAUUACUGGGUGUAAAGGGAGCGUAGGCGGGUUGGGAAGUUGGGUGUUAAAUCUACCGGCUAAACUGGUAGUCGCACUCAAAACUGCUAGUCUUGAGUGAAGUAGAGGCAGGCGGAAUGCCUGGUGUAGCGGUGAAAUGCGUAGAUAUUAGGAGGAACACCAGUGGCGAAGGCGGCCUGCUGGGCUUUUACUGACGCUGAGGCUCGAAAGUGUGGGGAGCAAACAGGAUUAGAUACCCUUGUAGUC
rnacentral:rRNA from 1 species